CUGUCGCGGAGCCCGCCCGAAGGCCCCCGAGCCCCGGGAACGGAGCUUCCCGCGCAGGGCGCGCGCGCGGAGGAGGGCGCGCGAAGCCUGGACCCGGGCGGCGGCGGGAGGAGCUCGCGGAGGGGGCCAGCCCCGAGCUCCGCCGCCGAGCCGCGGCCCGGGAGGCCGCGGGGCCCUCGGCGUAACUUCUCUUUGGAAGCCCCGGCAGGGCGGGCGCGCGCUCCCACUCGGGCACGCGCGUCCCGGAGCCCCCCUCCCCCCCGCGCGCGCUCCGUCUAUUUUUCCCUACCGCUUUCGCUCUCACACUCUAAAAUAGGUCAAGGGGUGGAAGUUACACCUGGUACGGCCCCCGGCUCUGAUGCAAAAGCAGCUUUUUCUCCCCGGCUCCGGGAGAGCGUUGCAACUAUUCGGUUCGGUAGAGUCUCCCGCCCCCAUACCGUGCAGAAAGCGCCGGCGACCGUGGCGCUGACAAUGGUCCGCAGAGGGGAGCGGCGGCGAGCCUCUUUCCCACCCUAGUUCUGCCCGCCCUGCGCCCGCCCUCCCCCAGCACGCGGGGAGUCGGGGGCGCGACAGGUCGCUUCGCGCGCUCGGGCCCCCUGUGUCCGGGGUCUGACCGCCUAGGGCUUGUGUUCACUUGAACGACUCAUGCAGAAUUGCUUCAUCGCGUGAAGGACCUGGCUGUUUGAUUUCCCUCCUACUACUUUUCCUUUACAUCACACACCGAGAAAGUCACGAGCAAAAAUUGUCACUCUCUGAGGGUAGAAACUACCAUGAUUCACAAAGACAAGAAGUAAGUUUCCUGUCAUCACAAGAUGACUCAGCUCCUUCUGCUGUAUACUGUGACCGGCAUUUCUUGGGGGUGGCCCCAUUCCCAGGAUGGAUCAUGAAGCUGCCCAGCUGGAAAAGCAGCACGUACAUGAUGUGUAUGAGGGCACCGCACCUUACUUCAAUGACCUGCAGAGCAAAGCCUGGCCUCGCGUCCGUCAGUUCCUCCAGGAGCAGAAGCCGGGCAGCCUCAUCGCUGACAUAGGUUGUGGGACUGGAAAGUAUCUUAAAGUGAACAGCCAGGUGUACACCCUGGGCUGUGACUACUGCGGGCCAUUGGUAGAGAUUGCCCGGAGUAGAGGAUGUGAAGUCAUGGUAUGUGACAACCUUCAUCUCCCCUUUAGGGAUCAGGGCUUCGAUGCCAUCAUCUCCAUAGGAGUCAUCCAUCAUUUUUCUACAAAACAGAGAAGAAUCAGAGCAAUAAAAGAAAUGGCCAGGGUCUUAGUUCCUGGAGGCCAGCUGAUGAUUUAUGUUUGGGCCAUGGAACAAAAGAACCGGCACUUUGAGAAGCAAGAUGUGCUUGUCCCGUGGAACAGGGCCUUAUGCUCCCAGCUCUUCUCAGACUCCAGCCAGCCUGGGAGAAAACAGCAGUGUGGACAUCCAGAAAGAAGCCAUCCCUACCAUCCUCCUUGUUCUGUCUGUAGCUGCUCUGUUUGUUUUAAAGAGCAAGGUCAUUCCAAACGGUCCCACAGCAUGGACUAUGAACCAAUGAUGGCCAGAGCCUGUUGUGCAAAUAUCUCUGAGGAAGGAGAGGAAGAAAAUGGAUUCUAUAACACAUUCGGAAAAUCUUUUCGUUCCUGGUUUUUCUCUAGGUCUUUGGAUGAGUCAACUCUGAGGAAGCAAGUUGAGAGAGUGAGGCCCCUGAAGACUACAGAGGCUUGGGCCAGUAGCACCAUAUCGAUUCAGCCUUCCAGACAAUCCAGUUUAGACUUAGAUCGCCAAGAGCCAUUGUCAACAAGAGAGCAAACUUCAGAUGAAGAUGUGUUUGUGGAGACUUCGCAAAAACAGUUGGAGUGGCUGAGAGCACCAGCCACAAAGAAACAUCUGCGUGGAGGCCAGCAAAGAGAAGUUAGGAGAAAUGGAGAUGGGAAUUUUCUGGAAAGCACCAACACCAAUGCGAAUCGUGUGAAUGCAGGUGAUGUAGAAGAAGGCGACCCUUCUAGUAAAAUACUGAGAAGGAUUUCUGCAGUCGACUCCACAGAUUCCAACCCAGAUGCCACAAUUUCUGUCGAAGAACAACAGCCCGACGUUUUGGAUUCCAGAGCCUUGAUGCGCUAUUACCAUGUGUUUCGAGAGGGCGAGCUCUACGGCCUGCUGAAGGAGAACGUGUCGGAGCUGCAUGUUCUGAGCUCCGGGAACGAUCAUGGCAACUGGUGUAUCAUUGCCGAGAAAAAGGACAACUGCGAUUGACCAGAUCAUGUUAGACAGUUCCUCCAAAAGAUGGACCGUGGUCUUUUCACAGGGUUUGGUCAGAAAAGGGAGGCUAUUCAGGGAGGCUCCUUUUAUUUGUUGACUGCACCCUGCUUUGUGCCAGAUACACGGGAUAUAAGGUAAUGCGGGUCAGGUAGGUGUGUUGAGUAUACGCAGGGCAUUAAAAUUAAGUGACCUGAAAGUGCCAGGUUGGAACAGGUUUGUGUUUGUUGUAUACCUACGACCACGUUGUACUGUUUAGUUGAACUAAUAUAUGAAACCCCCUCUUAAAGAAUCACCACGCGUAUUAGCAUAUGUAAGGCCUACCCUAAAGUAAUCGUGGACUUAACGGAGCUUGCCCUUGGCACAUGAACAUCCUCCAACACAAGGAUUCUGAGAAGCAUAUUUAAGAAAAUAAUGUGUCCGACAGAAAAAAAAUGCAGACUCCUUCGGAUGGUAUCAGAUGCAGACUCUUUGUAAACUGCCAACUAUUUUUCAGCCUGAUCUCCUGCGGUCGCACCCACUUUUUUCUGUUCUGCAAUCUGCUGCUUUAAACAACCUCUUUAUUAGAAAUUAUAUGACGACAAGUAAUUAACGCAUCCCCUAGAUAUAAACUUGGAUUUCACAUGCCAUCAUUGUAAUCCUUCUCCAAAGAAAAAUGCGUGGCAUGGGCCUCACUCCACCGAUUCAAAGGGCAUAUGAGGUAAGUGUUAUCACACACCCAUCCAGCAGAUGGAAAAACCAUGGGAGCAGAAAGGCGUUACAGCAGCUUCCUCAGACCCCAAACCAGAAUGUUCCCUGCCUCUUUUCCCAGCCUCGACUCAAAACUAUGAUUACCGGUUUCACUGUACACACUCCCUAUCAACUGUCCACAGAACUGGAGCAGGGACAUUUGAAAAGACCUCUCACCAACCAAGAACGGAAAUUACAAUGCUGAUAGAAAGCACUCAGGCAUGGCAUGGAAACACACACACACACACACACACACACACACACACAUACACACAGAAACCUAAGAGAGCUGAUCAAAGAGAAAAUACUAACAGUGAUUUGUCCUAUUUUUGAUUCCCCAAAAAUUGGGUCCCCCAAUAUGGGAUGCAUUAGUAAAAACGUCAAUCCUUUCAUAUUCUGUCCCCCUCUGGACGCAAGUCUUCCUCAGGUGACUAAGCACCUUGAUGGCCUAUCUGGGUGGGAUUAGGGCUAACAUGCCAUCCAUAUGCCCAAUCUGAUGGGUCACUUGUGAGAACCGAUUGUCAAACUGGAUCCCUCAUUUGGCAAAUAAGUACAUAUUUUGUCUCUUCUUCCACUGCAGCUGGGAAAAAUAAAGCUUACCUCAACCCAAUUAAUUCGUAAUUAAUCCAUAUGAAACAAUCUAUUUUCUCCACGGGAAACAUUUGCUUUUCUCUGGAUACUACCCCCACAUAGAAAAGACGGUGGGUUACCACGGUUAACCUGUCUCCAGGGUCACUGAAGAAGUGACAUUUAUAUUUACACUCACCCUGCAAGGAAUUUGGUUGAAUGACCAGCAUUUCUGUAAUGAGCUAACCAUACCACUUCCAUCAGAUUUUCUAGUAACGUUGGUAGAGGGACUCCAUUAGGGAAGGACUCACUCCAUUCUGAAGGCUCACUAGCGUCACUCUAGUGGAGGUUCUGAGAAACUACACAUGUGAAAACUGACCCAUUUUCUUUAGAUGUUCUUCUAAGUAUGUGUUCUGUAAAUGUAUGUGUAUACAUAUUUAGUGUUAGUUGUCAAUAGUGACCAAGAAAAAGUAGUCCUCGUACUUGUUCAAACAUUAAAUUAUCAAUUACCGUAGAAAUGCAUUUCAUUAAUGGACUUUUUUUUCAGGGAAAUUGAAAAAUAAUUGUUAAAUAUUGCUGCGCUUCUUCUGAUGUUGGCAUGUCUAUUUGUAUCAAAAGUGCAAAAACUUUUUUUCCUACAGUUAAAAUGUAGGUUUUCCCAGAAGCAGCUAGCAAUAGUUUUACAAGCACAAACUGAUGUAAAAUAUCUUGACUGUUGUAAUAAUCUGAAGAUCUUUUAUUUUCAUUAACCAAUGAUGUUUAGAAUUUUUUUUGAAAUCAAUAUUAUUUAAAACGGUGUAAUUUGUAUGCCCAUGACAUAUAUUAGGCAGUUUAAAUUAUGUGUAAGGGUACUUUUAAAAACUGUUACUAGAUGACCAAAAUUUUGCCUUUUAUCUCCACUCUGAGUGUGACUGGACAGGCCUUGUCCCCCGUCAACUCAGCCAGCCACCUCUCCUUAUACUUCAAAAGAAUUGGGCAGAUUCGUAUUUGAAUUCUAUUAUUGUCCAAAGGAAGCGACACAAACCAUUUAAUAAGAGAUGGUCUUGGAAGGGUCAGUAAAAGAAUAU